ACUUUCUCUACUGGGCAGCCGCUGAGGAAUAUUACAGCAAAUGAGUCUUCUUUGGUGGUCCAGCCACACCAGCCCUUAUACUUCACAGCGUGAGUGAUAUAAACAUGAAGGCCAGGUGCGGCGGCUUACACCCGUAAUCCCAGCACUUUGGGAAGAGUGAAGUGGAGGAAGAGGUACAUUCAACUACAGAGGAGGAAACUGAGGCCCAGAGGGGAAAAGUGACUUGAUUGACAAAAAUUGGAUUCUGGUCUUUGUUCUGCCAAAGGCUGCCAGAACCUUUCCUUGUAGUGCAAGAACAACCACACUGCUGGAAGUGAAAUUUGCAAUCUGCUCUAUCAGAUGAUUUCUGCGCAUGGGCUGUUACUAUGUUCAAAGCAUUAAACUGCCUGAAAGUGGAUUAUUUACAGAGCUUCUCUCUUCCCAGAGCUACGGAUAGGUGGCAAUUCAGCCUCUUCACCCUAAUGCACACUUUCUCACUUUCCACCGAGACUCUUUGUUUGCUGACAGCAUCUGGCUAUCCUGAGUACUUGCCUUAGCUGGCACAGUUCUCUCCAAUCCCUAGAAGAAACAGCCUUCACCUACACUCCAGGGAUGAAAUAACAUUUCAGCUCAAAGCUAGCAACCUUUCUCUGAAAUGGUGUCACACCCAGACAGAAAAAUAAAUGUGCUGUUUCUUCUUAGAUGAUGAGAAGUCAGGCUUUCAGGCAGACUUUUGACACAGGGAGGAUCAAGGUUUGACUGCCUUUGAGUAAUCCUUGCAGAAAAAACAGCACCUAAUUGGACAAAGGAAGAAAGGAACCAGCUGCUACUGUCAAGAUUAUUUAAACACCCAUCCACAGUCAAAAACACUGCAUUGUUUCAUUACAAGUGAAAUUUGAUUGCCACUACAUUUCCUGCUGGCCUCCCCUCUAUGCAAAUUGGGGAGAAGAAAGAAAUUCAUAAGGCACCAGAACCCAUUUGGCUUCUAAAUGUACUGUUUGCAUAUAGACAUCAGCAGCCUGAAUAAAUCCUAGCGAGGAAUGUCAAACUGACAACACUGGCUACUUUUCUAUUGUUCUCCCUGAAAACAUCGUUUUUAACACGUUCACAAAGGCAAGCUGGAUUCUGUUUUAUCAGUGUUUUAGUAAAAGACAAGUGGCGUGGUGGUUCAGUUGUGGGUAUCGGACAUUAAUGAAAACCAUUCUGGGAGAGUUCACUUUAUAAAAGAUUAAAAUAAUUCAUCAACUUGCAAAA
rnacentral:lncRNA from 1 species